GAGCAAGAAUCGUGCAAGAGUCUGGUCUAACAGAAACCAACUAGCCCAUAGUUUCUCAACGAGCUUUGGGCCUCAAAAUCCUUUUAAAAAACAGAAAGAAUUGAAGGAAGAUUACUUUGAAUGAUAUGUCACUUAGCUCUUCUCUACAUUUCUAUCUGUGUGGAUGGAACUGAACUUGAACUAUGGUACAUGAUAAGGAGGAAUUACAGCAGGUAUACAGAAGCUGAACUAUUUUAUCAGCUGAAUGAUACUUCCUUUAUUGUACAUCCAAAUCGAAGAGGUGCCUUCUCUAUGUUACACACAUAAAUCUAAAUAAGCAUGCCAAUGGUAGUUUUACCCAGGAUUUGUGGUCAUUGUCAGAACCAUGUGGGGACAGCAGAGUGCAGGAAGACAGAGAGAGGGUCGCCGAGGCUGCCUGUGAGGAAGCAGCCUCUCCCGGCCUCAC